rnacentral:rRNA from 1 species
GUGGGGAAUAUUGGACAAUGGGCGCAAGCCUGAUCCAGCCAUGCCGCGUGAGUGAUGAAGGCCCUAGGGUUGUAAAGCUCUUUCACCGAUGAAGAUAAUGACUGUAGUCGGAGAAGAAGCCCCGGCUAACUUCGUGCCAGCAGCCGCGGUAAUACGAAGGGGGCUAGCGUUGUUCGGAAUUACUGGGCGUAAAGCGCACGUAGGCGGGUAUUUAAGUCAGGGGUGAAAUCCCAGAGCUCAACUCUGGAACUGCCUUUGAUACUGGGUACCUAGAGUAUGGAAGAGGUAAGUGGAAUUCCGAGUGUAGAGGUGAAAUUCGUAGAUAUACGGAGGAACACCAGUGGCGAAGGCGGCUUACUGGUCCAUUACUGACGCUGAGGUGCGAAAGCGUGGGGAGCAAACAGGAUUAGAUACCCCGGUAGUCC